AGUUGAUCCUGGCUCAGGAUGAACGCUAGCUACAGGCUUAACACAUGCAAGUCGAGGGGCAUCAUGGAGUUGCUUGCAAACUCUGAUGGCGACCGGCGCACGGGUGAGUAACGCGUAUCCAACCUUCCCUAUAGUAGAGGAUAGCCCGGCGAAAGUCGGAUUAAUACUCUAUGUUUUCCGUUGCAGACAUCUAAGAUGGAACAAAGGCUUGCCGCUAUAGGAUGGGGGAUGCGUCUGAUUAGGUAGUCGGCGGGGUAACGGCCCACCGAGCCAUCGAUCAGUAGGGUUCUGAGAGGAAGGUCCCCCACAUUGGAACUGAGACACGGUCCAAACUCCUACGGGAGGCAGCAGUGAGGAAUAUUGGUCAAUGGGCGAGAGCCUGAACCAGCCAAGUAGCGUGCAGGACGACGGCCCUAUGGGUUGUAAACUGUCUUUUAUGCGGGGAUAAAGUUCACUACGUGUAGUGUUUUGUAGGUACCGCAUGAAUAAGGACCGGCUAAUUCCGUGCCAGCAGCUGC
rnacentral:rRNA from 1 species